rnacentral:rRNA from 1 species
GACGAACGCUGGCGGCGUGCUUAACACAUGCAAGUGGAGCGACGAACCAGGGCUUGCCCUGGGGCAGAGCCGCGAACGGGUGAGUAACACGUGGGUAGCGUACCCCGAUGACCGGGACAACCCGAGGAAACUCGGGCUAAUACCGGAUGUGUCCGACUUUCACGAGAUCGUCGAGCAAAGGAAGCUUCGGCCUCCGCAUCGGGAGCGGCCCGCGGCCCAUUAGCUUGUUAGUAGGGUAAUGGCCUACCAAGGCUGCGAUGGGUAGCUGGUCUGAGAGGACGAUCAGCCACACUGGGACUGAGACACGGCCCAGACUCCUACGGGAGGCAGCAGUGGGGAAUAUUGCGCAAUGGGCGAAAGCCUGACGCAGCGACGCCUCGUGAGGGAUGAAGGUCUUCGGAUCGUAAACCUCUGUCAAGAGGGAAGAAACCCUUGGAUUCGAACAGGGUCCUUGGCUGACGGUACCUCAAAAGGAAGCACCGGCUAACUCCGUGCCAGCAGCCGCAGUAA